UACGGAGGGAGCUAGCGUUAUUCGGAAUUACUGGGCGUAAAGCGCACGUAGGCGGAUUUGUAAGUCAGGGGUGAAAUCCCGGGGCUCAACCUCGGAACUGCCUUUGAUACUGCAAAUCUCGAGUCCGAUAGAGGUGGGUGGAAUUCCUAGUGUAGAGGUGAAAUUCGUAGAUAUUAGGAAGAACACCGGUGGCGAAGGCGGCCCACUGGAUCGGUACUGACGCUGAGGUGCGAAAGCGUGGGGAGCAAACAGG
rnacentral:rRNA from 1 species